ensembl:snoRNA
AAGCCAGGCAAUCAAUCUGCUCAUCUGAAUGUGUUUCUGCAGAAAUUUAGAAGUGGCUGGAAACAGUGGAGCCAUCUUAUGAGCCUUAAGGACAACUAAGGUCACUAUGAUUCCUCGAAAUGGCUAAAAUA